rnacentral:rRNA from 1 species
CUACGGGUUGCUGCAGUGGGGAAUAUUGCACAAUGGGCGCAAGCCUGAUGCAGCCAUGCCGCGUGUAUGAAGAAGGCCUUCGGGUUGUAAAGUACUUUCAGCGGGGAGGAAGGGAGUAAAGUUAAUACCUUUGCUCAUUGACGUUACCCGCAGAAGAAGCACCGGCUAACUCCGUGCCAGCAGCCGCGGUAAUACGGAGGGUGCAAGCGUUAAUCGGAAUUACUGGGCGUAAAGCGCACGCAGGCGGUUUGUUAAGUCAGAUGUGAAAUCCCCGGGCUCAACCUGGGAACUGCAUCGGAUACUGGCAAGCUUGAGUCUCGUAGAGGGGGGUAGAAUUCCAGGUGUAGCGGUGAAAUGCGUAGAGAUCUGGAGGAAUACCGGUGGCGAAGGCGGCCCCCUGGGCGAAGACUGACGCUCAGGUGCGAAAGCGUGGGGAGCAAACAGGAUUAGAUACCCCAGUAGUC